rnacentral:rRNA from 1 species
AUCCUUUGACCGCGUCCGAGAGGACGUUUCCCCUUCGGGGGCAAAGUGACAGGUGGUGCAUGGUUGUCGUCAGCUCGUGUCGUGAGAUGUUGGGUUAAGUCCCGUAACGAGCGCAACCCUUAUUGUUAGUUGCCAGCAUUGAGUUGGGCACUCUAGCAAGACUGCCGGUGACAAACCGGAGGAAGGCGGGGAUGACGUCAAAUCAUCAUGCCCCUUAUGACCUGGGCUACACACGUGCUACAAUGGGAAGUACAACGAGCGCGCCAAGCCGCAAGGCCGAGCGAAUCUCUGAAAGCUUCUCUCAGUUCGGAUUGCAGGCUGCAACUCGCCUGCAUGAAGCCGGAAUCGCUAGUAAUCGCGGAUCAGC